rnacentral:rRNA from 2 species
GAGUAAUGUCUGGGAAACUGCCUGAUGGAGGGGGAUAACUACUGGAAACGGUGGCUAAUACCGCAUAACGUCGCAAGACCAAAGAGGGGGACCUUCGGGCCUCUUGCCAUCAGAUGUGCCCAGAUGGGAUUAGCUUGUUGGUGAGGUAACGGCUCACCAAGGCGACGAUCCCUAGCUGGUCUGAGAGGAUGACCAGCCACACUGGAACUGAGACACGGUCCAGACUCCUACGGGAGGCAGCAGUGGGGAAUAUUGCACAAUGGGCGCAAGCCUGAUGCAGCCAUGCCGCGUGUAUGAAGAAGGCCUUCGGGUUGUAAAGUACUUUCAGCGGGGAGGAAGGUGUUGUGGUUAA